rnacentral:rRNA from 1 species
UACGGAGGGUGCAAGCGUUAUCCGGAUUUACUGGGUUUAAAGGGUGCGUAGGUGGGUAGGUAAGUCAGUGGUGAAAUCUUCGAGCUUAACUCGGAAACUGCCAUUGAUACUAUCUGUCUUGAAUACUUUGGAGGUAAGCGGAAUAUGUCAUGUAGCGGUGAAAUGCUUAGAUAUGACAUAGAACACCAAUUGCGAAGGCAGCUUACUACACAGUCAUUGACACUGAGGCACGAAAGCGUGGGUAGCAAACAGG